GACGAACGCUGGCGGCGUGCCUAAUACAUGCAAGUCGAGCGAAGUUUUGCUGGUGCUUGCACUAGAAAAACUUAGCGGCGAACGGGUGAGUAACACGUAAAGAACCUGCCUCAUAGACUGGGACAACUAUUGGAAACGAUAGCUAAUACCGGAUAACAGUAUUUCUCGCAUGAGAGAUAUUUAAAAGUUGGUUAUGCUAACACUAUGAGAUGGCUUUGCGGUGCAUUAGCUAGUUGGUGGGGUAAAGGCCUACCAAGGCGACGAUGCAUAGCCGACCUGAGAGGGUGAUCGGCCACACUGGGACUGAGACACGGCCCAGACUCCUACGGGAGGCAGCAGUAGGGAAUCUUCCGCAAUGGGCGAAAGCCUGACGGAGCAACGCCGCGUGAGUGAAGAAGGAUUUCGGUUCGUAAAGCUCUGUUGUUAGGGAAGAAUGGAUAUGUAGUAACUAUACAUGUAAGAGACGGU
rnacentral:rRNA from 1 species